UGCUCUAUCCUUAAAGAGGGGCAAAGGUAUCUUGAACAGAGUCCCAGACUUAUCAAUUUCAAAAGAGUAAACUUUGAUCCACUGCUGCUGAGUUAAUCAAGCGAUCGCGGAGGCUGAGUGCCUCUCUGACAAGGCACCAUCAGGAGAUAUCCCCAACAUGAUAUCCCGUCAUCAGCCUCCUCGCUUCAUACACUUCUCUGCCAGGAAGUGAGACCCUGCUUGACUCCCUGGAGGUGAAGUCCGCUGGUGCCAGGACCUGAGAACCUUAAACCAGACCCUCCAAGAGCCUGAGCGUGCUGGAGGAUGAGAGCUGGCAAGAGGCUCAGACGUGAUGCUGAGGAUGGAGGGAACAGCCACUGUCAGGCAAGACUAAGGUUUUAACACCGUCUUUCUUCAUCCUCCCAAUUAUAUUGUUUUCGGAUGAGAUAAACCAGAGCCCAGAGAGGUUUCCUGGUUUCUCCAAGGCCUCAGAGCACGAGGUGGUGCAGGUUUCGACUCUGGCCCACCUCCCUUCCAGUCUGUGGCUCUUCUGUGACGCCCAAGGCCUGCCGCCUGAGUUUCAAAAACCCUGGGUUCCUUCCCGACAGCAGGACGAAAUCUCUGAGGGGAGGUUUGAGAGGAAGGAGAGGGAGCUCUGCCAGUCUGGCUCAGACGCACACCCACUUGGGCGAGGGCCACCCUGACACUCCCUCAUCAGCUGGGCGCUGGAAGUCUCCCUUUCUCUUCCUCGGCCUGCCUGUGCCUGGGACACACCUGCACCCUGCCAGGGCCACACCUGGGGAAGCACCCGCUUCCGCCUGGAGCCGUGCGCUCUGCCGGGCCUCGAGCAAUUACUUCCCUCCAUUGCUUCCUGCCUCCUCCAUCCUGCCCAGGAUCCCACCUCCUCCUGCUCCCCACAACCUGCCACCAAAAAUAGUGCAGGCAUGUCCUUACACUAGAGGCAAUGAGCGCCAGCGUUGUUCUGAAGGUGUCCACAGCAGCUGUGAGGCAGGAGAAAGGCCCGGGGACCCCAUCCACAUCCCCCACUUCUGCACACAGAAGCAUCAGUCAGCACAGGAGGGGGCUGAGAGCCAGAAGGUGAACCUGAACACAGGCCCCUGCUUCAUUAACAAGAAUCAAUACCUGGUUGUAUUAACUUUCCCAACAAAGGUCCGUCGAGUCAAAGCUAUGGUUCUUUCAGUAGUCGUGUAUGAAUGUUAGAACUAUAAAGACUAUAAAGAAAGUUGAGCACCGAAGAAUUGAUGCUUUUGAACUAUGGUGUUGGAGGAAACUCUUUUAGAGUCCUUUGGACUGCAAGGAGAUCCAACCAGUCCAUCCUAAAGGAAAUCAGUACUGAAUAUUCAUUGGAAGGACUGAUGCUGAAGCUGAACUCCAAUACUUUGGCCACCCGAUGGGAAGAGCUGACUCAUUUGAAAAGACCCUGAUGCUGGGAAAGAUUGAAGGCGGGAGGAGAAGGGGACGACAGAGGAUGAGAUGGUUGGAUGGCAUCACUGACUCGAUGGACAUGAGUUUGAGCAAGUUCUGGGAGCUGGUGAUAGACAGGGAAGCCUGGGAUGCUGCAGUCCAUGGGGUCACAAAGAGCUGGACAUGACUGAGCGACUGAACAAUCUGGGGAAAAGGAUAUGAACCCCAGAAGGAUGUACUCCCUGGGGACAUUUAAACCAUCACCCCAGCUGACCAGCCAAUAUGAAAGGGCUCCACUUGAGUGGUGGACCUGAGUGGUCCACCUCCACCUGCCUUCUCCAGGGUUCUGUCAGGCCCUCCUCUGAUCUGUGAGCAACAGGUCUAAACGGAUGGCCUUGAGCGCCCUAUCAUUCUGGACCCCCUAACUGGAGCUGUCCUGGCCCGGCGGCACUGGCUUAAGGACCAGCUUGGGCAAGCUGCUGCCACUUUCCCGGAACCCCUGGCCAGCUGCGUCAGCUUGAACUGCCUCCCGGAUUUAAGAAGGGGAGAGGCUGCUUGGCUUUAAAAAGGAAAUUGGAUUUCCAUUCAUGAACUCCCCACACCAGGACACCUAACAGAAGCAGCAUUUAAAGCAAAUUUUAAGCAAUUUAUUAGCAUCUGGGAAGAACAAAAGGGGGCUAUAAAAACUGUGUUUCCUCAGCCCUAACAAGCGGAGCCACAGGAAACUCUUUACCAAUGACACCACUGAGGACCUGCCAAAACGUGCCGCCUGCCUGGAGCUCUACCCACGCAGGACUGGGGCACAAGGAACCCCCAGAGCCCUGGGGAAUGUUGCAAGAGCUUGGCUGAGGCUGGGCAGCCACUGGCAGCGAUGAUCUCAGCAUCGACAGAGCAAACGCGCUGGAUGGAAAAACUGCGGAACCGAGUAGCUGAGUAAUGUGCCCACAGUCACCAUGGCAGCAAGUUAGAGUCAGAAUUCAAACCCAGCUCCUCUGUCCCAGACUCUGGCUCUCAAUGUUCUGCUCCAAGGACUUAAAGAGACGUCACUAAGGCAACACCUUCCCUGCAGAGAGAAGGGUUCCUGCCAGUUUCUCCGAGGAUGGGCUCACUAGGAUGCUGAGGGCCUGCAGAACUGGAGAAAAAGUCAGCUUGAGGGCUCCUGUCUGCCAGCCUGUGUGAAAGAAAGCCUGUGAGAGACCCCACAUCACUCAGAAUCUUCUGUCCCACCUGCGUGGAGAGGCCUGCUUGCCAGCCCCUCACUGUCCACCACGGUCCACACGCGACUGCAGGAGUCACCAGCCAGCUUCCCCGUCACGGCUCUCUGCCCGCCCAGCGCCCUCCAAGGACGUUCCGUUCUCCAGUUACUGCGCGUCCAGAUGCUACCUAGGCUCCAAGGCACAGUCCUCGAGAGCGUGGGCUCUGGGGUGGCCGCUGAGCUCGCGUCCGAGCUGUGUCGCUUUGGGAAGCUUGCUCAACCUCUCUGGGCCGCCGUGUCUUCAUCUAGGACGUGAGGAUAAUAAUGGCGCCCACCUCAGGCUCAGCAAGCGUCUGAAUACGCAUCUCACGAGGAAGUCAUUAGCAGAAGCUCGGCCUGUUCUAAUUAUAAAGCAGGCAAGGAGUCUGCUGAGGCCAAUGAGGGGCUCAUGCCCACGUCUGGCCUCACAGAGACACUAGGCCAUGGGGUUAGAGCAGGCCCGGGGGUAGCACCAUUAGGGCUCAAAUGCCACGUCCGUCCUGUGCCAGUGUGUUAACCAAGUCACUCAGGUUCCUGUGCCUCAGUUUCUACUCGCUGGGGAUAAAAAAAAAAAGUAUCUACUGGGAACUUCCCUGGUGGCCCACGGUUAAGAAUCCACCUGCCAACACAGUGGACACAGGUUCGAUCCCUAGUCAGGGAACUAGAUCCCACAUGACACCAAACAACUUGGCCAGCGCGCUGCAACUACUGAGCCCGCACACCCUAGGGCCCGUGCUCUGCAACAAGAGAAGACACCGCAAUAAGAAGCUUGUGUAACGAAGAGUAGCCCUAGCUCGCGGCAACUAGAGAAAGCCCGCUUGCAGCAACUUGAAGAACCAGCACAGCCAAAGAAGAAAAGUACCCACUGACAAGGUUUGUCGCA